AUUGAACGCUGGCGGCAGGCCUAACACAUGCAAGUCGAACGGAUCCUUCAGGAUUAGUGGCGGACGGGUGAGUAACACGUGGGAACGUGCCCUUCGGUUCGGAACAACUCAGGGAAACUUGAGCUAAUACCGGAUGUGCCCUUCGGGGGAAAGAUUUAUCGCCAUUGGAGCGGCCCGCGUCUGAUUAGCUAGUUGGUGAGGUAAAGGCUCACCAAGGCGACGAUCAGUAGCUGGUCUGAGAGGAUGAUCAGCCACAUUGGGACUGAGACACGGCCCAAACUCCUACGGGAGGCAGCAGUGGGGAAUCUUGCGCAAUGGGCGAAAGCCUGACGCAGCCAUGCCGCGUGAAUGAUGAAGGUCUUAGGAUUGUAAAAUUCUUUCACCGGGGACGAUAAUGACGGUACCCGGAGAAGAAGCCCCGGCUAACUUCGUGCCAGCCGCCGCAGUAAUAC
rnacentral:rRNA from 1 species